rnacentral:rRNA from 1 species
GACGAACGCUGGCGGCGUGCUUAACACAUGCAAGUCGAACGGAAAGGCCCUGCUUUUGUGGGGUGCUCGAGUGGCGAACGGGUGAGUAACACGUGAGUAACCUGCCCUUGACUUUGGGAUAGCUUCAGGAAACUGGGGCUAAUACCGGAUAGGAGCUCCUGCUGCAUGGUGGGGGUUGGAAAGUUUCGGCGGUUGGGGAUGGACUCGCGGCUUAUCAGCUUGUUGGUGGGGUAGUGGCUUACCAAGGCUUUGACGGGUAGCCGGCCUGAGAGGGUGACCGGCCACAUUGGGACUGAGAUACGGCCCAGACUCCUACGGGAGGCAGCAGUGGGGAAUAUUGCACAAUGGGCGGAAGCCUGAUGCAGCAACGCCGCGUGCGGGAUGACGGCCUUCGGGUUGUAAACCGCUUCCGCCUGUGACGAAGCGUGAGUGACGGUAAUGGGUAAAGAAGCACCGGCUAACUACGUGCCAGCAGCCGCGGUGAUACGUAGGGUGCGAGCGUUGUCCGGAUUUAUUGGGCGUAAAGGGCUCGUAGGUGGUUGAUCGCGUCGGAAGUGUAAUCUUGGGGCUUAACCCUGAGCGUGCUUUCGAUACGGGUUGACUUGAGGAAGGUAGGGGAGAAUGGAAUUCCUGGUGGAGCGGUGGAAUGCGCAGAUAUCAGGAGGAACACCAGUGGCGAAGGCGGUUCUCUGGGCCUUUCCUGACGCUGAGGAGCGAAAGCGUGGGGAGCGAACAGGCUUAGAUACCCUGGUAGUCCACGCUGUAAACGGUGGGUACUAGGUGUGGGGUCCAUUCCACGGGUUCCGUGCCGUAGCUAACGCUUUAAGUACCCCGCCUGGGGAGUACGGCCGCAAGGCUAAAACUCAAAGGAAUUGACGGGGCUCCGCACAAGCGGCGGAGCAUGCGGAUUAAUUCGAUGCAACGCGUAGAACCUUACCUGGGUUUGACAUGGAUCGGGAGUGCUCAGAGAUGGGUGUGCCUCUUUUGGGGUCGGUUCACAGGUGGUGCAUGGCUGUCGUCAGCUCGUGUCGUGAGAUGUUGGGUUAAGUCCCGCAACGAGCGCAACCCUUGUUCACUGUUGCCAGCACGUUAUGGUGGGGACUCAGUGGAGACCGCCGGGGUCAACUCGGAGGAGGGUGGGGAUGACGUCAAGUCAUCAUGCCCCUUAUGUCCAGGGCUUCACGCAUGCUACAAUGGCUGGUACAGAGAGUGGCGAGCCUGUGAGGGUGAGCGAAUCUCGGAAAGCCGGUCUCAGUUCGGAUUGGGGUCUGCAACUCGACCUCAUGAAGUCGGAGUCGCUAGUAAUCGCAGAUCAGCAACGCUGCGGUGAAUACGUUCCCGGG